CAGCAGCCGCGGGAAUACGUAGGGGGCAAGCGUUAUCCGGAAUAACUGGGCGUAAAGGGUGCGCAGGUGGUUUAACAAGUUAGUGGUGAAAGGCAUAGGCUCAACCAAUGUAAGCCAUUAAAACUGUUUAACUUGAGUGCAGGAGAGGAAAGUGGAAUUCCUAGUGUAGCGGUGAAAUGCGUAGAUAUUAGGAGGAAUACCAGUGGCGAAGGCGACUUUCUGGACUGCAACUGACACUGAGGCACGAAAGCGUGGGGAGCAAACAGGAUUAGAUACCCCCGUAGUCCCUGUCUCUUAUACC
rnacentral:rRNA from 1 species